rnacentral:tRNA from 1 species
GCGGGAGUGGCGGAACUGGCAGACGCAACCGGCUUGGAGUCGGUAUGCUUACGGGUUCGAUCCCCGUCUCCCGCACCA